CCCCGAACCCCUUUGGACUUCAUUACCCGCUGAAUUUAAGCAUAUCAAUAAGCGGG
rnacentral:rRNA from 1 species